CUCAGUAACGCCUUGAAUUUCAAAUUAAAAUUUUCAGCCCAUCCGUUAGUUCAACUAGCAGAACUCGAAAAAUGUAAAUAUUAUACGCAAAUAUUAAGCAGCAAAUCUCAGAUCCAAGGCAAUCACAAAUAUUACGCUAGAAUUAUCAGAUCUGAUCCAAAUUAUCUUCAAGCACAUAGAAAGCCCUAAAAUCGAUCCUAAACUCCUCUACCUCGUUCUCUUCACCGCCACUUUCUCCCUCCUUCUUGUUCUCCUCCGUCCGCCGCUCAAUCAAUUGCAGGGGAAUCGAAGGAACUGAUUUCGAAUCAAUUUGGAACGCGAUCGAGUCGUCAGAUCGAUGAGAGAGAAACUAGAGAGAGAUUCGGUUGGGAGUGCGUCAAAUUCAUGAGAUACAAUAAAUCUUCAAAAAUGAAAUCCAAACCCUAGGAAAGAGAAUCGCUUAUAGCUUCAACAAUAGCAACAACGACAAAAUCGUUUAAAGCAAUUACAGUAGCAGUACUUGUGGUGCAUCAAUUGGAUUGAAGCAGAAGCAGCUUCUAUCAGAAUUAUGCAAAAUCCUAUCUCUAAACAAUUCAACCUAUAGAAAUAUACUUAUAUAUACAAUGAGAUAUAAUGAGAUAUUUGGAUAUGAAAUUUCGAGUAUUCUUUUUGUUAUUCCUAAUAAG
rnacentral:lncRNA from 1 species